rnacentral:rRNA from 1 species
ACGAACGCUGGCGGCGUGCUUAACACCUGCAAGUCGAACGGAAAGGCCCUGCUUUUGUGGGGUGCUCGAGUGGCGAACGGGUGAGUAACACGUGAGUAACCUGCCCUUGACUUUGGGAUAACUUCAGGAAACUGGGGCUAAUACCGGAUAGGAGCUCCUGCUGCAUGGUGGGGGUUGGAAAGUUUCGGCGGUUGGGGAUGGACUCGCGGCUUAUCAGCUUGUUGGUGGGGUAGUGGCUUACCAAGGCUUUGACGGGUAGCCGGCCUGAGAGGGUGACCGGCCACAUUGGGACUGAGAUACGGCCCAGACUCCUACGGGAGGCAGCAGUGGGGAAUAUUGCACAAUGGGCGGAGGCCUGAUGCAGCAACGCCGCGUGCGGGAUGACGGCCUUCGGGUUGUAAACCGCUUUCGCCUGUGACGAAGCGUGAGUGACGGUAAUGGGUAAAGAAGCACCGGCUAACUACGUG